AUUGAACGCUGGCGGCAGGCCUAACACAUGCAAGUCGAACGAGUGGCGGACGGGUGAGUAAUGUCUUGGAAACUGCCUGAUGGAGGGGGAUAACUACUGGAAACGGUAGCUAAUACCGCAUACCAUCAGAUGUGCCCAGGUGGGAUUAGGUUGUUGGUGGGGUAACGGCUGACCAAGGCGCCGAUCCCUAGCUGGUCUGAGAGGAUGACCAGCCACACUGGGACUGAGACACGGUCCAGACUCCGACGGGAGGCAGCAGUGGGGAAUAUUGCACAAUGGGCGCAAGCCGGAUGCAGCCAUGCCGAGUGUAUGAAGAAGGCCUUCGGGUUGUAAAGUUCUUUCAGCGGGGAGGCGUUACCCGAAGAAGAAGCACCGGCUAACUCCGUGCCAGCAGCCGCGGUAAUUC
rnacentral:rRNA from 1 species